UUCUCACGCCUCUUCUCCGGCGAAAUCGCCUCUACCUCACGGCCUCUACGGCGGUUUCGCGCCCGGGGUGACUCCAAUCCCCCUCAAAUCGGACUUCUCUCUCAUUCACUUCUUCAUUCACCAAUUAAGUUUUUUUCAAAUCCCUAAAAUUAGAGAACACGGCAGCGCGCCUUUCCUCUCCGGUGAAAUCGCCGCUAGCUCGACGGGAUUUCAGAGUCCCGUCGGCGCGUACUCCUUCCUCCAUCGAGUUCUCCUUCUCCAGCGAAUGCCCUCCGGCGAGUUCUCUUCCCUCUCGGCGACGUCAGCAGUGGAGAGGAGGCGUCGCCUCAACUCCGUGCCUCCGUAACUCGCCGCCUCGCCGGGUGCUGCUCUGUGUCGGCACCUCCUCUGCGUCGCCGGCGAAUUCGCCUCGGCGUUCUCCGACGAGCGCUCUUCGUCCAGCACCGGCGUCCUCGGCGAACCUAGCGGCAGAGAGGAGGCACGCCUCCUCCUCCCUCUCUCAGCCGCGACCUGCAGCUGCUCCGCGGAGGUUUUCGGACUCCGUCGACGCUCUUCCGUCGCCCGGCAGCCUCGUCCCUGCUGCCGCCGUGAUCCGCAGCUUCUCCGCGGAAGUUCUUCGGCUCCGUCGACACUCGCCGUCGCCCGGCAGCCCCUCCGCCUAAGCUAAGUCUCCUCCCCCCCCCUUCUACUCAAUUUCUAACAAUAAAAACGAAAGCUUUGGGGCUCUCUAUCGCUUAUUGAUUCGAACUUGGCUGCACUUAAUCACUGGAAGGAGCUUGCUAUUGUUUUUGCUACACUUAGUCUUGUUUAUAUGAUUGUCAUACUUGUGGUUUACUGAUUUGGGAGUAUCUCAUACUUGACUAAGCAUUGGUAUCAUGUGUUGGUGUUUGGUUCUUUAUGCUUGCUACUGCUAUGACCAUUCUAUUGAGCUUCUAUGAAUCUAAGUUAUAGGCUAUCUAUUGGUUGAUCUACAUGAUGCGAUGGAGAUGGGUGUUGAGGUUGUUGGGAUUACCUUAACAUCGUUGAAUCCUCCUCGGUGGUGGCUGUCCUUGCCGUCACCGCUCGCUGCCCUCUCCCUCCUCCCUCGCUGCUCUUCGUAUGGUGUUGUGUAGAAUUUGUGGUGUUGAAGUGUGGUGGUGGAGGAGGUGAGGAGAGGCUGCUUAUAUGGUGCUAAGCUAUUGAAAGCUAGGUACAAGGCUGUAACUUGGAGCCUCAUGGGCUGAAAAUCGAGAAGGAUGGGGAAGAAGAAGAAGAGGGGAUCUUAUCCCUACUAUGCUUGCAUUCACAUUCUUACUUCUAGCUUGGAGCCAAAGUCUUAGGUCUUGAGACCAUUAGGAUAGUAGUAGCUUGUCAAUGUUCACUCUUGUACCAAAUAAAGAUGUAUGUACUUAAAUACUUUAUUCUCAUGCAUUUCUAUUUCUCCAAACAUUUUCACAUUUCUCUAGUGAAAGUAUUUCCUCCA